rnacentral:rRNA from 1 species
UAGUGGCGAACGGGUGAGUAACACGUGGGCAAUCUGCCCUGCACUCUGGGACAAGCCCUGGAAACGGGGUCUAAUACCGGAUAUGACACGCUCCCGCAUGGGAUGCGUGUGGAAAGCUCCGGCGGUGCAGGAUGAGCCCGCGGCCUAUCAGCUUGUUGGUGGGGUGAUGGCCUACCAAGGCGACGACGGGUAGCCGGCCUGAGAGGGCGACCGGCCACACUGGGACUGAGACACGGCCCAGACUCCUACGGGAGGCAGCAGUGGGGAAUAUUGCACAAUGGGCGAAAGCCUGAUGCAGCGACGCCGCGUGAGGGAUGACGGCCUUCGGGUUGUAAACCUCUUUCAGCAGGGAAGAAGCGAGAGUGACGGUACCUGCAGAAGAAGCGCCGGCUAACUACGUGCCAGCAGCCGCGGUAAUACGUAGGGCGCAAGCGUUGUCCGGAAUUAUUGGGCGUAAAGAGCUCGUAGGCGGCUUGUCGCGUCGGAUGUGAAAGCCCGGGGCUUAACUCCGGGUCUGCAUUCGAUACGGGCAGGCUAGAGUUCGGUAGGGGAGAUCGGAAUUCCU